GGGGAGAUACUCAAGCGGUCAACGAGGGCAGACUGUAAAUCUGCUGGCUAUGCCUUCGAGGGUUCGAAUCCUUCUCUCCCCA
rnacentral:tRNA from 1 species